AUCUCGUUGUUCCCUUCGUUUUAUCAGAUUUUUUCGUUACAAAGUUUAUUGUCUUAGGCGUUAUGGCACAAGCCAUAUAAAGUUUUUAAAGUAUAGGAAAAAUCUAUGUCAAACGUAGUAACUGGCACAGUUAAAUGGAUCAACGAAACUAAAGGUUUUGGUUUUAUUGCAGCAGAUUCUGGUGAAGAUGUAUUUGCACAUUACAGCCAAAUUCAAGUAAAAGGCUUCAAAGUAUUGCAAGAAGGCCAACGCGUUCAAUUUGAAAUCGUUGCUGGUCCUAAAGGCUCUCAAGCUAACGCGAUUAGCCCACUUUAAUUUUCUAUAGAAAAUAAAGUGAAAAAAACCCAUGCCAU
rnacentral:sRNA from 1 species